GCAGAGGCCGAAGGGAGGCCAGCGAGCCAUCACGGGGGCCUGUGAGAGGGCACAGGUCAGGGCAGUGGGAGCGCAAGGCAGAUAGAGGACCAGAGGAAGGUGGAAGGUGGGGUGGACAGAGGCCAGGGUGCUCAGGGCCAGGGAGGGAGGGAGGCAGAGAGAUGGAGAAUGAGAGAGAGUGAGCGGAGACAAGGAGACAGAGGGGGCACAGAGAGAGGGGGACAUAAGGAGGGACAAAGACAGUGUCCAAGAGCUGGAGCAAGAGGCAGGGAGGGGUGCAUGCACGCACGCACAAGCACACAAGGACAGAAUUCUUUCAUCUCCUACUUUAUAUGCAUGUAGAUUGUUGAAGGGGGGCAGGUCCUGGAAAGCCGCAAGAGCGCUAACAGAGGGACUGUGAGUCACAGAGGGGGCAGGGAUGGAGAGAGGGCAGGGGAGGGAGGGAGGCCGCGGGAGCUGGAAGGCUGGCGGAAGCUGUGUCACAGCGCGCCCCUGCGCCCACCACCCAGACAAGAGAGAUCUAAGUCAGGCGUUGGGCAGGAGAUGGAGCUGAGGCCUACCCCAGGCCAGGCCUGGACGUGACAUGCCCACGUGGCGUUGAGGAAAAACCAGUGUUUCCCACCGACUGGAACACAAGCCAGGGCAGGAGGCGAAGGCAGGAGAAUCCAGGCGACCCUGGGGCUUUUCUGCUGGGGCACUGUUCCCCCUGUGGCAGGGCCAUCCACAGAGGGGCUGGCGGAAGUGGGAGGACGGUAAGACUGAGGGGCCCAUGAGGGAGGAGGAAAUGGUGAUGGGGCUGGGGAGGCCUGGGGGUGAGAAGCUUGGCUCAGGUGGCUGGAGCCCUGGGGGCGGCCAGGGUAUAGGGCCAGGUGUUGGCCCUGGAGCUCAAAGGCCCAGCAGACUCGGGGUAUGGGUGCUUCCCUGAGCAGCUGUGUCAUUCUUUCCAACCUGCAUGGAGAGAAAUGGGGCACAGAGGUGGGUAACUUGCCCAGGGCCAUGACCUGACGUCGUUUCUUCAGAGUGCAUUCCACAGAGAUGGGAUUUGAACCUGGGCAUUCUGGCACGGGCCACGCUCUGGACCACUGGGCCCCAGAUCCACAGCUUCUCACCUGCAGCCGCUGAGGAUGUGGAGGCAGACCAGGCAGGCCCGUGGGAAGGACCACCAAAAAGCGAGUGAGCAGCCGGCGAGGGGUCUCUCCCCAACAGGAAGGCCAGGCAGCCUUGAAGGAGCCAGGGAGGGAUUUAGAAGCUCCAGGAGGGGAGGCUUGGGGGAGCCAGCUGGCCUCUCUCCCUCUCCCUGUCCUUCCCCCCAUGCCUACCCCAACACACACACACAUGUCCUUGCUGGCCCCGGAUGAGACAGACGCCUGCAAUCUGGCAUGGGGAAUGGGUUUCUCCUUCCUUUCCACAGAAGAAAAUAAAUCAGGCUGGGCGUCGUGGCUCCCGCCUGUAAUCCCAGCACUUUGGGAGCCUAAGGCAGCAGGAUCACUUGGGCCCAGGAGUUCUAGACCAGCAUGGGCAACAUAGUGAGACCCCCAUCUCUAUAAAAAAAUUUAAAAAUUAGCCAGGCAUGGUGGUGCGAGCCUGUAGUCCCAGCUACUUGGGAGGCUGAAGUGGGAGGAUCGCCUGAGCCUGGGAGUUGGUGCCUGCAGUGAGCCGUGAUGGUGCCAUUGCACUCUAGCCUGGGUGACAGUGCAAGACUCUGUCUUUAAAAAAAAAAGAAAAGAAAGAAAGAAAAAAGAAAAUAAAUCCAUCCACAGGCAGCACCAUUUUCAUAAAUAUGUGUGUAUAUGGCCUGCAUAUGCACCUUCUACGCUUUCUGAGCAGAUAAGAGGCGUGGCUAUGGCAGCCCCUGGUCUGAAGCUGGUGUAACCAGAAAGGAUCUAGGCUGGUUUGGGGAACCGGAACAUCUUAUGUCAGGGGAGUCGUGCUGGAUUUAUCCUGCAAUGGCCGGGUCCCCUCACCAAGGGAUGGGAAGGCAGCGUCAACUGAUCUGGUGUCGUCUCCUUGCUGUGUGCCAGGCUUCUCAAUGCUGGAAGGGGACUCGUUGGGUCAGUGGGACGUGGGCUUCACGUUUGCUGGGCUGAAGACGUAGCUCUCCAUGCUGGCAUCCCAGCGGACACCCCCACUGCCACUGCUGCACCACGUCUUCACGUACACCAGAGAGCAGACUUGAGAGUUUCUGCGCAUACAGUGGGUGUGAAAUGGUGCCCUGCUGGGUUUUGAAUCGGCAUUCCUUGACCACCGGCCAUAUUGCAGCACUUUUCAUUUCUUCUGUCAAAUGCCCGUGCAUGUCUUGGCUUACACUUUGCAGGUGUUCUGUAUUUUCCACACCAAUCCCUGGGGUGUAUGUCUUCGGCCUACCUGUUACUUGUCUUCUCAGUUUGCUGAUGUAUCAUGUGAUAAACAGAAAGUCUUAAUUUUAAUAUCAUAGCAUUUAUCAAUCUGAUUUCUUUUUUUGAGACGGGGUCUCGCUCUGUCGUGCAGGCUGGGGUGCAUUGGCGCAAUCAUGGCUCACUGAAGCCUCCUGGGCUCAAGUGAUCCUCCCACCUUAGCCUCCCAAACACCUGGGACUACAGGCAGGCGCCACAGUGCCUGGCUAAUUUUGUAAUUUUUUUGUAGAGACAGGGUCUCGCUAUGUUGCCCAGGCUGGUCUCAAACUCCUGGACUCAAGCGGCCCUCCCGCCUUGGCUUCCCAAAGUGCUGGCCCGUGAGCCUGUGAGCCACUGCGCCUGGCUACCUUCUUUUGAAUUCCCAUUCAGACUGUGUGUUGCUGGUACAUAGAAAAACAAUGGAUUUCUAUGUAUCAAGUAACCUUGUAAACUCUCAUAUUAAGUCUAAUAAUUAUGUUUGGGUUCUCUUUGUGGAUUCUUUUUGAUUUUCUGCGUACACAAUCCUAUCAUCUGCAAGUAAUGACCAUUUUGUUUCUUCUAUUCCAGUCUUUUUAGCUUUGAUUUCUUUUUUUGAGGCAGAGUCUGGCUCUGUCACCCAGGCUGGAGUAUAGUGGCACAAUCUUGGCUCACUGCAACCUCCGCCUCCCUGGUUCAAGCAGUUCUCCUGCCUCAGCCUCCCAAGAAGCUGGGACUACAGGCACCCACCACCACGCCUGACUAAUUUUUGUAUCUUUACCAGACACAGGGUUUCACCAUGUUGGCCAGGCUGAUCUGGAACUCCUGAUCCACCUGCCUUGGCCUCCCAAAGUGCUAGGAUUACAGGCGUGAGCCACUGUGCCCGGCUGAUUUCGUUUCCUUGCUUUACUUCCCUGGACUUGCUUUCUCUUGCUUUUACUUCCUUUGAAUGAAAGCAUAGGAGGCGCUGGGCAUGGUGGCUCACGCCUGUAAUCCCAGCACUUUGGGAGGCCGAGGUGGGUGGAUCACCUGAGGUCAGGAGUUCGAGACCAGCCUGACCAACAUGGAGAAACUCUGUCUCUACUAAAAAUACAAAAAAAUUAGCCGAGCAUGGUGGCCCAUGCUUGUAAUCCCAGCUACUUGGGAGGCUGAGGCAGGAGACUCGCUUGAACCCAGGAGGCCGAGGUUGCGGUGAGCCAAGAUCGAGCCAUUGCACUCCAGCCUGGGCAACAAAAGCGAAACUCUGUCUCAAAAAAAAAAAAAAAAAAAAAAAAAAAGCAUAGGAGGCAUUCUCAGUGUUCCAUUAUUAAGUAUGAUGUUUGCAGGGAGCAUUCGGUAGAUAUGUUUAUCAGAUUUAGAAAGCUCCCUCCCAUUCCUAGUGUGCUAUAUGUUGAAUUUUUAUAAAAUGCUUUUUCUGAAUGCAUUAAUAUGAUCACAGGGUUUUCCUCCUCUAAUCUGUUAAUGUGGCAAAUUACAUUAAUUCAUUUUUAAAUGUUAAACCACUCUUGUAUUUUCUGGACUAAACUCAACUUUGCGUGAUGUAUUUUUUUCAUAUACAAUUCUGGAUUGGGUGGUUUUUUUUUUUUUUUUUAGCCUCGUAUUAUUAUCCUCGUCUGGUUUUGGUAUCAAGACAUCGUAAAGUGAGUUGAGGCAGUAUUUCCUUUUUCAGCUGUUCACUGGAACAGUUAGUCUAAGAUGGAGAUGAUCAGUUACUUCCAUGUUUGCUGGAGAUCAUCUGUAAAACCAUCUAGGCCUUCCUUGUUUUUUAUUUUCUGUUUUUUGUUUUGUUUCUUUUCUUUUCUCUUCUUUGUUUUUUUUGUUUUGUUUUGUUUUGUUUUGUUGUUGUUUUGAGACAGAGUCUCACUCUGUUGCCCAGGCUGGAGUGCAGUGGUACAGUCUUGGCUUACUGCAACCUCUGCCUCCUGGGUGCAAGCGAUUCUCCUGCCUCAGCCUCCCGAGUAGCUGGGACUGCAGGCAUGCACCACCACGUCCAGCUAAGUUUUGUAUUUUUAGUAGAGACGGUGUUUCGCCAUGUUGGCCAGUCUGGUCUUGAACUCCUGACCUCAGGUGAUCUGCCUGCCUCGGCCUCACAAAGUGCUGGGAUUACAGGCAUGAGCCACCGCAUCUGGCCUGGCCUUCCUUGUUUUUGUAGCUUCCUGCCUGUCCCCCUAUAGAUUUUAAACAAUGAAUCCAACUUCUGUAAUAAUUAUGGGACCAUUUAGGUUUUCUGUUUCUUCUUGAGUAAUUUUUUUAUUGUGGGAAAAAAUACAUAACACAAAAUUUGCCAUCUUUUUUUUUUUUUUUUUUGAGACAGGUCUUGCUCUGUUGCCCAGGCUGGGGUGCAGUGGCAUAAUCAUUGUAACCUCAAACUCCUGGUCUCAAGCAAUUCUCCUGCCUCAGCCUCCUGGGUAGCUGGGACUAUAGGCAUUCACCACCAUGCCCAGCUAAUUUUUAAUUUAAUUUUUUUUUUUGAGACAGAUCUCACUUUGUCACCCAGGCUGGAGUACAGUGGCGUGAUCUCAGCUCACUGCAACCUCUGCCUCCCGGGUUCAAGCAAUUUUUGUGCUUCAGCCUCAAAUUUUUAAUGUUUUUGGUAGAGAUGGGAUCUUGUUACUUUGCCCAGGCUGGUCUCCCAUUCCCAGACUCAAUCAAUCCUCCUACCUUGGCUUCCCAAAGCACUGGGAUUACAGGUGUGAGCCACCAUGCCCAGCCUCCAACUUUAUUCUUUUGCAUGUGGAUAUCAAGUUUCCCCUAUACCAUUUGUUGAAAAGACUGCCCUUUUCCCAAUUUGUAGCCUUGAUACCCUUGUCAAAAAUCAUCUGACCAUAUACUUGAGAGUUUCUUUCUGGGCUCUGGAUUAUAUUCUGUCUCUGUCUUUAUGCCAGGACCACACUGUAAUAUGUUUUAUUUUGUAAAUCAGGAAGUGUGAGUCCUCGAACUUUGUUCUCCUUUUUCAGAAUUGUUUUGGUUAUUUGGAGCCCCUUGAGAUUCUAUCUGAAUUUAGGAUGAAUCAUUCUAUUUUGAGUCAAUUUUUGAUAAACAAUAUUUUUCUAGGAACAUGCUUUUUUUUUUUUUUUUUUAGACAGAAUCUAGCUCUGUCGCCCGGGCUGGAGUGCAGUGGCAUGAUCUUGGCUCACUGCAACCUUUGCCUCCUGGGUUCAAGCAAUCCUCCUGCCUCAGCCUCUCGAGUAGCUGGGAUUACAGGUGCCCGCUACCACGCCCAGCUGAUUUUUGUAUUUUUAGCAGAGACGGAGUUUCACUGUGUUGGCCAGGCUGGUCUUGAACUCCUGACCUCAGGUGAUCCACCUGCGUCGGUCUCCCAAAGUGCUGGGAUUACAAGCGUGAGCCACCGCGCCUGGCUGGAACAUGCCCAUUUUGUUUAAGUUUUCAAGUUUAUUAGCAUAAAGUGUUUUGGUUUUAUUUUAUCAUUGAUUUAUUAUUAAUAAAUGUCUUGGGUCAAAACCAGAUGACGUUGCUUAAUGUUCAUUUAUUGUUAACCUACAAAAAUUGCAGUUUCAUCUUGUUCAAUCUAAUACACACGGAAGAGCAUAUGCUGCUUAGAUGAAUCAUCCCCACUGACAGCCAUCAUGGACCCUUCUUUUUCCCUUCGCAGUUAGUCCUAGCCUUUCCUUGGUUUUCUUUAUACUUGUCCCAAAUAUGAAUUAGCCUUAAACAAUAAAUUAUUUACUUUUGCAACAAAUUUUUUGGUUUUAUUUUUUUAAAUGUGUUAACUAGAAUCACCAUGCUGUACAUCAGAUCUCUGGAACGUCUCCAUCCUGCAUAACUGAAACUUGGUACCCUUUGACCAGCAUUUUCCCAUUUCCCCUACCCCAGUCCUGGCGGCCACUGUUCUGCUCUGUUUCCAUGAGGCUGACAUUUUUACUUUCCACGUGAGCAGCGUCAUGCAGUAUUUGCCUUUCUGUGCCCGGCUUACUUCACUUAAUGUAAUGUCCUCCAGGUUCCUCCAUGUUGCAAAUGGCAGGAUUGCCUUCUUUUUAAAGGCUGAGUAGUGAUCCAUUGUGUAUCUGUACCACAUUUUCUUUAUCCAUUCAUCUGUUGGUGGGCAUUUCGUUUGAUUCCAUAUCUUGGCGAUUGUGAGUAGUGCUUCAAUGGACAUGCGAGUGUGGAUAUUGCCUCGACAUACCGAUUUCAUUUCCUUUAGAUACAUACCCAGAAAUGGGAUUGCUGGAUUGUAUGGUCAUUCUCACUUUAAAUAUUUUGAGGAACCACCAUGCAUACCAUUUUCCAUACUGUUCCAAAAUGUUCCCUUUUCUCCACACCCUCGCCAAAGUUUGUUUUCUUUUGUCUUUUUGAAAACGAUCAUUCUAAUUUGAGUGAGGUGGUGUCUCAUUGUGGUUUUGAGUUGCAUUUCCCUGAUGAUUGGUGAUGUCGAGCAUUUUUUUCUUUUUUUAAGAUGGAGUUUUGUUCUUUCGCCCAGGCUGGAGUGAAGUGGCGCGAUCUUGGCUUACUGCAACCUCUGCCCCCCGGAUUCAAGUGAUUCUCCUGCCUCAGCCUCUGGAGUAGCUGGGAUUACAGGCGUAUGCCACCACACCUGGCUAAGUUUUGUAUUUUUAGUAGAGACAGGGUUUCACCAUGUUGGCCAGGCAGGUCCUGAACUCUUGACCUCAGGUGAUCCACUCACCUCGGCUUCCCAAAGUGCUAGGAUUACAGGCGUGAGCACUGCACCCGGCUGAUGUUGAGCAUUUUUUUUUAAUAGACCUAUUGGCCGUUUGUAUGUCUUCUUUUGAGAAAUGCCUGUUCAGGUCCUUGCCCAUUUAAAUUGGGUUAUUUAUUUUUUCAAUUUUCAAUUUUUAAUUUUUAGGAGUACAUAGUAGGUGUAACUGGGUUAUUUUAACUGGGUUAGAAAAUACAUUUGCUUGCUAUUGAGUUGUAUGAGUUCCUUGUGUGUUCUGUGUAUUAACCUUGUAUCAGAUGGAUGGUUUACAACUAUGUUCUUCCAUUCCAUAGGCUGUCUCCUUCACUCUGUUGAUUGCUUCCUCUGCUGUGCAGAAGCUUUUUAGUUUGAUGCAAACUCAUUUGUCUGUUUUUGUUUUGUUGCCUGUGCUUUUGGUGUCAUAUUGAAAAACUUAUUGCCCAGACCAGUGCCAAGCAGCUUUUCACGUAAGUUUCUUCUAGUAGUUUUCUAAUUUCAGGUCUCACAUUUGAAUCUUCAGUCCGUUUUGAGUUGAUCUUUGUGCAUUGUGUGAGAUAAGGGUCUAAUUUCAUUCUACUGCAAGUGAAUAUCCAAUUUUCCCAACACCAUUUAUUGACAAGACUGUCUUUUGUCUAUCAUGUAUUAUUGGCACCUUUGUCGAAGAUCAAUCAACUGUAAAUGCAUAGAUUUAUUUCUGGGUUCACUAUUCUGUUACGUUGGUGUAUGUGUCUGUUUUUAUGCCAGAACCAUGCUGUUUUGGUUACUAUAGCUUUGUAACAUAUUUUGAGAUCAGAUAGCAUGAGUCUUCCAGUUUUGUUCUUUUUGUUCAAGAUUGCUUUGGCUAUUUGGGGUCUUUUGUGGUUUAACAUACAUUUUAGAAUUGCUUUCUCUAUUUCUGUGAAAAAUCUCAUGGGAAUAUUGAUAGGGAUUACAUUGAAUGUGUAGAUCACUUUGGGUAGUAUAGACAUUUUAACAAUAUUAACUAUCCCAAUCCAUGAACACAGGGUAUCUUUCCAUUUAUUUGUGUUUUCUUCAGUUUCUUUCAUCUGUGGUUUACAGUUUUCGGUGUAUAGGUCUUUCACCUCCUUGGUUAAACUUAUUCCUAAGUAUUUUAUUUUUUAUAGCUAUUAUAAAUGAGAUUGUUGGCUUGAUUUCCU
rnacentral:lncRNA from 1 species